ACAAAUAACAAAAAUACAUCAGCAUACGACAUACAUCAACAAGACAGAAACCCGACGACACAAAUAACAAAAAUACAUCAGCAUACGACAUACAUCAACAAGACCGAAACAUGACGACACAAAUAACUAUAAUACAUCAGCAUACGACAUACAUCAACAAGACAGAAACAUGACGACACAAAUAACAAAAAUACAUCAGCAUACGACAUACAUCAACAAGACAGAAACCUGACGACACAAAUAACAAAAAUACAUCAGCAUACGACAUACAUCAACAAGACAGAAACAUGACGACACAAAUAACAAAAAUACAUCAGCAUACG
rnacentral:lncRNA from 1 species